GACCAGGAGCAGCCAAGGAUUAGAAGAAAUAACGGCCAUCGGAGAGAAAUUGAGCUGUGGUGUGAGGAGAACCAGUGGAGAACUGGGCAGCUAUCUUGGUGCUUGUGUGGGGAAUGCCAGCCCAUGACCUCAGCUGUGGAGAGCAUGUGCUGCAGGGAGGUGGAUCCCUUCUGGGCCCUGGUGGAGAACCUCACCCCCAGACCAGACAUAACAUGCCUGACACUGCACCCAGGCUUUGAAGCAUGCUGUCUGAAUCCUUGUGCUACAGAUAGCCUACAUAAACUCCAGGCAGGAGCAUGGCCCGCUUCAGGCCAGCAGACAUGAGCGAUACCGCCUACACAGCUUACAGGCAGGUCAUCCGCUGGGCCUAUGGAGUUCUAGGCAGUACCAUUAGGAAGCCCUUAACCUUCAUGUGUUGUGUCUGCCAUCAGAAAACGAUUUCUCAGAAGAAGGAGGAAUUUACAAAGGCUUUGAGUGGCCUCAUUUUGGUCGUGAUCAAUACAAUUAAUCCAAUCAUAGUGUGUUCGCACUAUGUGUUCGCAUUGCCAAACAUGCAUUUCCAAACAUUUUGUCUACCUAUGCUGUAAAUGUGGUAUUUUUCGAAUUUACACAAAUAAACAUUUGAUUGAUUGAUAGAUAGGUGUCUUUUCAUUUUAAUAACCACCAAUACGUAUUUGAACACUCCCUCUCGAUCGAUUACAAAAAAAAAAAAUAGUAUGGCCACCCUAAUACACCAAUGCAGUUUUUAAAGAUAUACUUUUUCAACACAGAAUCAUUUUAACAAUUACACCAUAUCCAAUCAUUGUACGAGUCAGAAAAUGCUAUCUGUUCUUGCAAGUUAUUGUUUAUUGAUUAGAUUACAUGCCUCAACAUAAUUAUGUAGAGUACAAGUCACAGCCAGAAAUUUUA